rnacentral:rRNA from 1 species
GACGAACGCUGGCGGCGUGCUUAACACAUGCAAGUCGAACGGAAAGGCCCUGCUUUUGUGGGGUGCUCGAGUGGCGAACGGGUGAGUAACACGUGAGUAACCUGCCCUUGACUUUGGGAUAACUUCAGGAAACUGGGGCUAAUACCGGAUAGGAGCUCCUGCUGCAUGGUGGGGGUUGGAAAGUUUCGGCGGUUGGGGAUGGACUCGCGGCUUAUCAGCUUGUUGGUGGGGUAGUGGCUUACCAAGGCUUUGACGGGUAGCCGGCCUGAGAGGGUGACCGGCCACCUUGGGACUGCGAUACGGCCCAGACUCCUACGGGGGGCAGCAGUGGGGAAUAUUGCACAAUGGGCGGAAGCCUGAUGAAGCAACGCCGCGUGCGGGAUGACGGCCUUCGGGUUGUAAACCGCUUUCGCCUGUGACGAAGCGUGAGUGACGGUAAUGGGUAAAGAAGCACCGGCUAACUACGUG